rnacentral:rRNA from 1 species
AGUGAACGCUGGCGGUAGGCCUAACACAUGCAAGUCGAACGGCAGCACAGUAAGAGCUUGCUCUUACGGGUGGCGAGUGGCGGACGGGUGAGGAAUACAUCGGAAUCUACUUUUUCGUGGGGGAUAACGUAGGGAAACUUACGCUAAUACCGCAUACGACCUACGGGUGAAAGCAGGGGAUCUUCGGACCUUGCGCGAUUGAAUGAGCCGAUGUCGGAUUAGCUAGUUGGCGGGGUAAAGGCCCACCAAGGCGACGAUCCGUAGCUGGUCUGAGAGGAUGAUCAGCCACACUGGAACUGAGACACGGUCCAGACUCCUACGGGAGGGAGCAGUGGGGAAUAUUGGACAAUGGGCGCAAGCCUGAUCCAGCCACACCGCGUGGGUGAAGAAGGCCUUCGGGUUGUAAAGCCCUUUUGUUGGGAAAGAAAAGCAGCAGGUUAAUACCCCGCUGUUCUGACGGUACCCAAAGAAUAAGCACCGGCUAACUUCGUG